rnacentral:rRNA from 1 species
UGAAUCUGGAUUCCCAUCUAGUGGCAGACGGGUGAGUAACACGUGGGUGACCUACCUUUUCGUUGGGGACAACAGUUGGAAACGACUGCUAAUACCGCAUGAUACAUUUGGGUGGCAUCAUCUGAAUGUCAAAGAUUUAUCGCUGAAAGAUGGCCUCGCGUCUGAUUAGCUAGUUGGUGAGGUAACGGCCCACCAAGGCGACGAUCAGUAGCCGGACUGAGAGGUUGAACGGCCACACUGGAACUGAGACACGGUCCAGACUCC